CAAACACUUCAAGUGAAAAUUUGGAUGAAAAACUGAUAUUUUCCAUGGAAAAUAAAUAUAAUCAAACACAACAUAAGUCCAGCAAUUCUAGCAACACAUCAAGCGUAACAAAAGAAGUUAAAAACAAAAGGCGCUGUGAAAAAAGAAAACAACGUGGAAUUCAACUCCUUCUCUAUGCAAAUCAAUCGUGUUCAGAAAAAUCAGAAAAUCAAACCCACAAAUACUGAAGAAAAACUCCUCCAAAUCGAUUAAUGAAAUUCAAUAAUAUAGAAUCCAGUUAAUAAUAAUAAUAAUAAUAAUAAUAAUAAUAAUAAUAAUAAUUAAAUUAAAGAGUAAAAAAUAUUAAAAU
rnacentral:lncRNA from 1 species